rnacentral:rRNA from 1 species
CCUACGGGUGGCUGCAGUGGGGAAUAUUGGACAAUGGGGGCAACCCUGAUCCAGCCAUGCCGCGUGAGUGAUGAAGGCCUUAGGGUUGUAAAGCUCUUUUAUCCGGGAAGAUAAUGACUGUACCGGAAGAAUAAGCCCCGGCUAACUUCGUGCCAGCAGCCGCGGUAAUACGAAGGGGGCUAGCGUUGUUCGGAAUUACUGGGCGUAAAGCGCAUGUAGGCGGCCAUUCAAGUCGGGGGUGAAAUCCCAGGGCUCAACCCUGGAACUGCCUUCGA